AGUCGAGGGGCAGCGGGGCGGCAGGCUUGCCUGCCGUUGCCGGCGACCGGCGCACGGGUGAGCAACACGUAUGCAACCUGCCCGUGGCAGGGGGAUAAGCGGGGGAAACCCCGUCUAAUACCGCGUAACGCGGCCUAGGGACAUCCCAAGGCCGCCAAAGGGAGCAAUCCCGGCCACGGAUGGGCAUGCGGCGCAUUAGCUAGUCGGCGGGGUAACGGCCCACCGAGGCGACGAUGCGUAGGGGUUCUGAGAGGAAGGCCCCCCACACUGGUACUGAGACACGGACCAGACUCCUACGGGAGGCAGCAGUGAGGAAUAUUGGUCAAUGGGCGCGAGCCUGAACCAGCCAAGUCGCGUGAGGGAGGACGGCCCUACGGGUUGUAAACCUCUUUUGCCGGGGAGCAACGGGCGCCACGUGUGGCGCCACUGAGAGUACCCGGAGAAAAAGCAUCGGCUAACUCCGUGCCAGCAGCCGCGGUAAUACGGAGGAUGCGAGCGUUAUCCGGAUUUAUUGGGUUUAAAGGGUGCGUAGGCGGAUCGUUAAGUCAGUGGUCAAAUUGAGGGGCUCAACCCCUUCCCGCCAUUGAAACUGGCGAUCUUGAGUGGAAGAGAAGUAUGCGGAAUGCGUGGUGUAGCGGUGAAAUGCAUAGAUAUCACGCAGAACCCCGAUUGCGAAGGCAGCAUGCCGGCUUCCUACUGACGCUGAAGCACGAAAGCGUGGGGAUCGAACAGGAUUAGAUACCCUGGUAGUCCACGCGGUAAACGAUGAGCGCUAGGUGUCCGGGGGGAAUGGCCCCUGGGCGCCACAGCGAAAGCGUUA
rnacentral:rRNA from 1 species